rnacentral:rRNA from 2 species
GGGUUGUGAGGUUAAGCGACUAAGCGUACACGGUGGAUGCCCUGGCAGUCAGAGGCGAUGAAGGACGUGCUAAUCUGCGAAAAGCGUCGGUAAGGUGAUAUGAACCGUUAUAGCCGGCGAUGUCCGAAUGGGGAAACCCAGUGUGAUUCGUCACACUAUCGUUAACUGAAUACAUAGGUUAACGAGGCGAACCGGGGGAACUGAAACAUCUAAGUACCCCGAGGAAAAGAAAUCAACCGAGAUUCCCCCAGUAGCGGCGAGCGAACGGGGAGCAGCCCAGAGUCUGAAUCAGCUUGUGUGUUAGUGGAACGGUCUGGAAAGUCCGACGGUACAGGGUGAUAGUCCCGUACACCAAAAUGCACAGGCUGUGAACUCGAAGAGUAGGGCGGGACACGUGGUAUCCUGUCUGAAUAUGGGGGGACCAUCCUCCAAGGCUAAAUACUCCUGACUGACCGAUAGUGAACCAGUACCGUGAGGGAAAGGCGAAAAGAACCCCGGCGAGGGGAGUGAAAAAGAACCUGAAACCGUGUACGUACAAGCAGUGGGAGCACCUUCGGGUGUGACUGCGUACCUUUUGUAUAAUGGGUCAGCGACUUAUAUUCUGUAGCAAGGUUAACCGUAUAGGGGAGCCGCAGGGAAACCGAGUCUUAACUGGGCGUUAAGUUGCAGGGUAUAGACCCGAAACCCGGUGAUCUAGCCAUGGGCAGGUUGAAGGUUGGGUAACACUAACUGGAGGACCGAACCGACUAAUGUUGAAAAAUUAGCGGAUGACUUGUGGCUGGGGGUGAAAGGCCAAUCAAACCGGGAGAUAGCUGGUUCUCCCCGAAAGCUAUUUAGGUAGCGCCUCGUGAACUCAUCUUCGGGGGUAGAGCACUGUUUCGGCUAGGGGGUCAUCCCGACUUACCAACCCGAUGCAAACUACGAAUACCGAAGAAUGUUAUCACGGGAGACACACGGCGGGUGCUAACGUCCGUCGUGAAGAGGGAAACAACCCAGACCGCCAGCUAAGGUCCCAAAGUCAUGGUUAAGUGGGAAACGAUGUGGGAAGGCACAGACAGCCAGGAUGUUGGCUUAGAAGCAGCCAUCAUUUAAAGAAAGCGUAAUAGCUCACUGGUCGAGUCGGCCUGCGCGGAAGAUGUAACGGGGCUAAACCAUGCACCGAAGCUGCGGCAGCGACACUAUGUGUUGUUGGGUAGGGGAGCGUUCUGUAAGCCUGCGAAGGUGACCUGUGAGGGUUGCUGGAGGUAUCAGAAGUGCGAAUGCUGACAUAAGUAACGAUAAAGCGGGUGAAAAGCCCGCUCGCCGGAAGACCAAGGGUUCCUGUCCAACGUUAAUCGGGGCAGGGUGAGUCGACCCCUAAGGCGAGGCCGAAAGGCGUAGUCGAUGGGAAACAGGUUAAUAUUCCUGUACUUGGUGUUACUGCGAAGGGGGGACGGAGAAGGCUAUGUUAGCCGGGCGACGGUUGUCCCGGUUUAAGCAUGUAGGCUGGUUAUCCAGGCAAAUCCGGAUAAUCAAGGCUGAGGUGUGAUGACGAGGCACUACGGUGCUGAAGUAACAAAUGCCCUGCUUCCAGGAAAAGCCUCUAAGCAUCAGGUAACAUCAAAUCGUACCCCAAACCGACACAGGUGGUCAGGUAGAGAAUACCAAGGCGCUUGAGAGAACUCGGGUGAAGGAACUAGGCAAAAUGGUGCCGUAACUUCGGGAGAAGGCACGCUGGUGUGUAGGUGAAGUCCCUGCGGAUGGAGCUGAGACCAGUCGAAGAUACCAGCUGGCUGCAACUGUUUAUUAAAAACACAGCACUGUGCAAACACGAAAGUGGACGUAUACGGUGUGACGCCUGCCCGGUGCCGGAAGGUUAAUUGAUGGGGUUAUCCGUAAGGAGAAGCUCUUGAUCGAAGCCCCGGUAAACGGCGGCCGUAACUAUAACGGUCCUAAGGUAGCGAAAUUCCUUGUCGGGUAAGUUCCGACCUGCACGAAUGGCGUAAUGAUGGCCAGGCUGUCUCCACCCGAGACUCAGUGAAAUUGAACUCGCUGUGAAGAUGCAGUGUACCCGCGGCAAGACGGAAAGACCCCGUGAACCUUUACUAUAGCUUGACACUGAACAUUGAGCCUUGAUGUGUAGGAUAGGUGGGAGGCUUUGAAGCGUGGACGCCAGUCUGCGUGGAGCCAACCUUGAAAUACCACCCUUUAAUGUUUGAUGUUCUAACGUUGGCCCCUUACCGGGGUUGCGGACAGUGUCUGGUGGGUAGUUUGACUGGGGCGGUCUCCUCCCAAAGCGUAACGGAGGAGCACGAAGGUUAGCUAAUCCUGGUCGGACAUCAGGAGGUUAGUGCAAUGGCAUAAGCUAGCUUGACUGCGAGCGUGACGGCGCGAGCAGGUGCGAAAGCAGGUCAUAGUGAUCCGGUGGUUCUGAAUGGAAGGGCCAUCGCUCAACGGAUAAAAGGUACUCCGGGGAUAACAGGCUGAUACCGCCCAAGAGUUCAUAUCGACGGCGGUGUUUGGCACCUCGAUGUCGGCUCAUCACAUCCUGGGGCUGAAGUAGGUCCCAAGGGUAUGGCUGUUCGCCAUUUAAAGUGGUACGCGAGCUGGGUUUAGAACGUCGUGAGACAGUUCGGUCCCUAUCUGCCGUGGGCGCUGGAGAAUUGAGGGGGGCUGCUCCUAGUACGAGAGGACCGGAGUGGACGCAUCACUGGUGUUCGGGUUGUCAUGCCAAUGGCACUGCCCGGUAGCUAAAUGCGGAAGAGAUAAGUGCUGAAAGCAUCUAAGCACGAAACUUGCCCCGAGAUGAGUUCUCCCUGAGACUUUAAGUCUCCUGAAGGAACGUUGAAGACGACGACGUUGAUAGGCCGGGUGUGUAAGCGCAGCGAUGCGUUGAGCUAACCGGUACUAAUGAACCGUGAGGCUUAACCUUACAACGCCGAAG